UGGCAUAAGCCAGCUUGACUGCGAGCGUGACGGCGCGAGCAGGUGCGAAAGCAGGUCAUAGUGAUCCGGUGGUUCUGAAUGGAAGGGCCAUCGCUCAACGGAUAAAAGGUACUCCGGGGAUAACAGGCUGAUACCGCCCAAGAGUUCAUAUCGACGGCGGUGUUUGGCACCUCGAUGUCGGCUCAUCACAUCCUGGGGCUGAAGUAGGUCCCAAGGGUAUGGCUGUUCGCCAUUUAAAGUGGUACGCGAGCUGGGUUUAGAACGUCGUGAGACAGUUCGGUCCCUAUCUGCCGUGGGCGCUGGAGAACUGAGGGGGGCUGCUCCUAGUACGAGAGGACCGGAGUGGACGCAUCACUGGUGUUCGGGUUGUCAUGCCAAUGGCACUGCCCGGUAGCUAAAUGCGGAAGAGAUAAGUGCUGAAAGCAUCUAAGCACGAAACUUGCCCC
rnacentral:rRNA from 1 species